UACGUAGGGUGCAAGCGUUGUCCGGAAUUAUUGGGCGUAAAGCGCGUGUAGGCGGCUUGGCAAGUCGGAUGUGAAAGCCCACGGCUCAACCCCGGAACUGCAUUCGAUACUGCUGCGCUAGAGUACUGGAGAGGAGAUUGGAAUUUACGGUGUAGCAGUGAAAUGCGUAGAUAUCGUAAGGAAGACCAGUGGCGAAGGCGGAUCUCUGGACAGUUACUGACACUGAGGCACGAAGGCCAGGGGAGCAAACGGG
rnacentral:rRNA from 1 species